CCUACGGGUGGCUGCAGUGGGGAAUAUUGGACAAUGGGGGCAACCCUGAUCCAGCCAUGCCGCGUGUGUGAAGAAGGCCCUCGGGUUGUAAAGCACUUUCAGUGAGGAAGAACGCCUGGUGGUUAAUACCCAUCAGGAAAGACAUCACUCACAGAAGAAGCACCGGCUAACUCCGUGCCAGCAGCCGCGGUAAUACGGAGGGUGCGAGCGUUAAUCGGAAUUACUGGGCGUAAAGCGCGCGUAGGUGGCUUGAUAAGCCGGUUGUGAAAGCCCCGGGCUCAACCUGGGAACGGCAUCCGGAACUGUCAAGUUAGAGUGCAGGAGAGGAAGGUAGAAUUCCCGGUGUAGCGGUGAAAUGCGUAGAGAUCGGGAGGAACACCAGUGGCGAAGGCGGCCUUCUGGACCGACACUGACACUGAGGUGCGAAAGCGUGGGUAGCAAACCGGAUUAGAUACCCUAGUAGUC
rnacentral:rRNA from 1 species